CACGGAGACGCCUGGGUGACGACGCGCAGCGCCGAAAAGCGGCCCGACUGAGGAGCGAAGCUUAGCUCAGGGGGCUGGAACUUGGGAAAUGUCGCGCGAAGUAAGAGCCGCUGGACCCGCAAGAAUUGUUGAGAAGACCAAAAGGUGAGCUGAGGACUAUAAAGUGCUUCUGUCUAUGGAGACCUUGCUGCACACCAGACACUAGGGUCUGCUUGUUUCCAAGAAAUCUUAGCUCCCCAGGAAAGCGGCCUCAUUUUCUCUGGCAAAGAUUCUGGAACAGCCAAUAAGAUGAAGCAGAUGUCCAGAACAGCCACGACUGUGGCCACCAGCACAACAAGGCUGUCUCCGUAACUGGCUGAAAGGACGGUUUCUUCACAUCUCUGUACCCUUGGUGCUUAUCACAAGGCCUCAUAAUAAGGGCUUUCAAAGAUUUGAAUUAAACUUUAAGAGGAAACCAAAGUCACACUGCUGGCAAGAAAAGGAACAGGAUUCCGAUCUAUCAGCCCUAGGUAAACCUAGAACCCACUGGCUGGGAGACACGUGCACUGAAAUAAGGGGGUCGGUGAGAGGAAGACUCAACGGAAGGCAGGCAGGGUGAGGAGAAAAGCUUUUUAGCUCCUCUGAAAUAAAAUAUUAAUCCAAGCCCACGAUCAAAUCUUGUAAUUUAAUUUCUAAGUCACAAUGGAUUUCCAUUUAGCCUGUCCUUGUGUCAAGACAGUAAACAUCAAGAAUUAAAUGGUGUUCCUUUAAGAGCCAAGCAACUGCAGAAAGUGGGGCUUAAAUUCAGGACUUGUGACUACCAGUUUCAUGAAUUUUAGAAAAGAAAAUCUUCAAAAUUCUCUAAAAAUAUCAAGUACCUGCAUACGUGGGUAGUAUAGAACUGGUCAACAAGAGGUCCUUGGGGGGCUCAGAUGGUUAAGCAUCUGACUCUUGAUCUCGGCUCAGGAAUUCAAGCCCUGCAUCAGGCUCUGUGCGGACAGUGUGGAGCCUGCUUGGGAUUCUCUCUUUCCCUCUCUC